rnacentral:rRNA from 1 species
UACAGAGGGUGCGAGCGUUGUCCGGAAUCACUGGGCGUAAAGGGCGCGUAGGCGGCGCGGUAAGCGUGCGGUGAAAGCCCGGGGCUCAACCCCGGGUCGGCCGUGCGGACUGCCGGGCUGGAGCACUGUAGAGGCAGGUGGAAUUCCUGGUGUAGCGGUGAAAUGCGUAGAUAUCAGGAGGAACACCUGCGGUGUAGACGGCUUACUGGACGGUAACUGACGCUGAGGCACGAAAGCGUGGGUAGCAAACAGG